rnacentral:lncRNA from 10 species
CUGGGGCAGCAGAGGGGCCAGACCUGGGAGCCCAGAAGCCUGGAUCUGAGUCUGACUCACUGCUAGCCUUUGACCUUUGGAGGCUUGGGCAAGCUGAGGAACUUCUCUGGUCUUAAUCUCCACCCCCUGCUGGAGUAGGUGAGGUCAAUGAGUGAGCGCAUGUAACUUCCUCUUGGCCACAAAAUGCAUGGCACAGGGAAGGGUUUGACAACUUUUUGAUGGAUGAACAAAGAAGAUUCAAGCCACUUGUCAACAAGCUCAAAGUGAUUGAAAGUGGAAGCAUUUACCCACACGCUCAUGCAGAAAAUGACAGGAAAUCAUCCAGAGACACUUGUGACAGAGAUGAGAACUGUCACUGUUGAGAGGUGCUGCGGAGAUGGGUGUCCACGGAUGACCGUUCGGAGGCCGACUUCGGGGAUGUGGCCCCAUUAGCUCAAGAGUGGGUGACUCCCUACCACACUGAUGGCGUUGGCCAGGACAGGACAAGCCUACUGCAGUGACACAGUGUCACUGAUCCCUGAUGCCCACGUGGGUGUUUUACUUUAGCUAAUGCUGCAGAGAUAAUGCAGACAGAGAAAUGAGGCCCCAGCGCUGAGCAGCCCAAUCACCUGGUUGUAAGCAGCGAGUGUUUCUGGCUCUGCUCCUGGGCCCCAAACCACUGUGGGCUCACGAAGAAUCUUUCAGAGUUGGAGUCAGAAUGUCAGGGUUUGAGUGUAGUCUCCACCCCUUAAUGACCUUGCAUUGAUAAUUCUAUUCCCCGAGCCUCAUUUUACCCAUCUAUAAAAUGAGGACAAAUAGUUUAUUUCCUGGUUACUUCACUAAG